UUAGAUGAAUUUAAAUCACUUCUUUUAUAUAUUUGUAUGUAAAGCAGCCAUGUAAUAUAACUGUUUAGUUGUGGAAUGUGGCUUUUACCACCUGGUUCAUGUUUUAUGCAUGUUUAUGACAUUUUGGCUGUAUACAGCCAUCUUCAGGUAAAUGUCUUUCAUCGAUUGUUUCACUGCACAUGUCACUUCCAGGUAUGUGAUGUAUAAAAAUGUUGCGUGCAUGUAUGCACAGUGAAUCUGAAAUGUGGGGACAUACUUGGCGAUGAGUUCCAAAUACAAAAACAAGAAGACAAGUUUAUAUAAAUGUGGGACCACAGACACUUACCUUUCUGAGUUACAGCACUGAAAGGAUGCAUUUACAGUCCAUUAAAAUAAUAUUCCUAAAACACUAGUUAUGUGUGUGUGUGUGUUCUUGGAUAUAAUUCAAACAACAGGUGCUCAAAAUGUCCUCCAUAAGACUCAAUACAUGCUUUGGUAUGUCUUAUCAUGGACUGGCAAACCUGUUCAAAGAUCCCAGGAUACUUUUGCACAGUCUGACAGGUGUUCACAGUGAAUUGGUUAAAUGUCUCCACAUUAUGAACAGGAGCUGAAUACACAAGGGCUUUUAAGUGCCCUCACAAGUAGAAUUCCAGAAGAUUCAAAUCAGGUUUAAAUGGGUUCAUUUGAAUGAGAGACUUGCAUAUGAACGCGCAGUUCAUCAGCAGCGCCUUCGCACUGAGAUAGCCCAAGC